CCACCAACAACUGGGUUCUCAUCAAGAUCAUUAAGCUGUUUGGUGCUCUCACUCCUUUGGAGCCUCGUUUGGGAAAGAAGCUGAUUGAGCCCCUAACAAACCUCAUCCACAGUACCUCGGCCAUGUCGCUUCUCUAUGAGUGUGUCAACACGGUCAUAGCAGG